GAUGAUCCCGGCAGCCUGCAAUGGCAUCGGGGCAGUGGUGGGCGCUGCUGAGCAGUUGCAGGUGAUCUUCCCCCUUUGGGGGGCCCCAGGGUGUCACCUCAUUCCGCUGCCCGGACACCCCUUGGCUCUGGCCGGAGCUGUGCAAACUCGGGCUCUUCUUGGACAAGGACCAGGCCACACUGGAGGCCCAAAUCCUGGCACAGGAGGGGGCCAGGGGCAGUUACCGCCAGUGCCUGCGCUGCCAGCACCUCGUCCAGCGCCUGGACCCCAGGAUCCUGCGCACCCCCUGCCUGCCUUGCUCCCAGCAGGCCGGGGGGCUGUACUGCUUCUGCUGGGGCUGCCGCAUGGAAUGGAGGGACCCCUCAUCCAAUGCUGACUCGUGAUGCCCCCUACAGGCCGUGCUGCAUGAUGCCCCCAAGA